GGGUGAGUCGACCCCUAAGGCGAGGCCGAAAGGCGUAGUCGAUGGGAAACAGGUUAAUAUUCCUGUACUUGGUGUUACUGCGAAGGGGGGACGGAGAAGGCUAUGUUAGCCGGGCGACGGUUGUCCCGGUUUAAGCAUGUAGGCUGAUUAUCCAGGCAAAUCCGGAUAAUCAAGGCUGAGGUGUGAUGACGAGGCACUACGGUGCUGAAGUAACAAAUGCCCUGCUUCCAGGAAAAGCCUCUAAGCAUCAGGUAACAUCAAAUCGUACCCCAAACCGACACAGGUGGUCAGGU
rnacentral:rRNA from 1 species